rnacentral:misc_RNA from 1 species
UGAUAUGAAAGAGAUUUCCCUUUGUCUAAAAAGCAGGUUAAAGCAUAACAAGCUCUUGAUUACAUUGGAGCAGAGUCAACAGGAUUUGUAGUUCUGCAAAUAAUGAACAGUUACAGAAACCAUAAGAAUGACCCCAUGAAGAACACUCAUUUUCUUAGUUUCUUUCUUUCUUUUUCAUUGAACCACCAAAAGGUCCAUCAUGUUUCAACCCACGAUCCCGCUGCACCUUUCAGAAUACGAUCUUUUGCCAUGGCAGAUAUUCUGAGUUCUGAUCCUGACAUUUGCCACUUUAUCAUCCAGUUGUAUAGACAUGGAACGUGCUUCCCUUCCUUGGACCCUGAUUGCCUUGGAUAAUGUCGGGCCCAUAUA